GUGGAGAGUAUGUAGGUUUAGUAGCAAAAACUCUUUCAAUCUCCUCACGACGACCUUGGUUACCAAAACUUUCUAACAGGAACUCUCUGAGGGAACUGGUGAGACCAACACCAUAGUUUAUUGUUUGAAUAACUAAAUUGGAACUAGCAUCAUAAUUACCUUCCUCACAGAGUGCCCUAAUCACAAUAUCAUAAGUUGUCACGUCAGGUUUUGGUUCUCUCUCACCCAUCUUGGUGAGAAUAGGCACGCACUCUGCAACCUUGCCUUUCUCAAUCAAGAAAUUAAACCACUUCUCAGCAUAGACUGGAAUGACUCUCAGCCCUGCCUCCACCAUCUUUGUGUACUUCUCCAGUGUGCCUUCGACAUUAUCCAUCUUCACAUAUGCCUCAAUCAUUGUCCUAUAAGUUGUGACAUCUGGGCUCAAUGACUUGUUACACAACUCCAUAUAAUAUUUUUCUGCUUCCUCCAUCAUUUCAAGCUCAGAAAGUUUUGUUAUCAUAUUAUUGUAACCUGCAACAUCCAUUGCAAAAGGUCUGGUCUUGAGGCCCUUCCCCACCUUCUUGAAGGUCUCCAAUGCCUCUGAAACCUUUCCUAGCCUAAAACACUCAUUCACCAUUAAAUUAAAAGUGUCGGAAUUCACAGCCUGGAAUGUUGGUGGCGUGUGAUCAUCCAACAUUGCAUCAAACAAUGCCCAUGCCUCAGUUUCCCUCCCAUGCCUCAACAACACCUCCAACAACACAUUACAAGUUGCAGGAACCAUCCUAUACUUCUUAUCAAGAAGUGAUCGAUAUGAUUCCAUAGCCUCUUUUACCUUCCCCUGCUUGAAAAACCAGUCCAUAAAAGUAGCAUUCACCACCCCAUCAUAAACAGUGCACCUUUCUUUCAACUCAUCAAACAGUUCAUUUGCUUUCUCUAAAUUACCCAAAUUCAAGAACCCCAAUAUCAAAUUAUUAUAAACUAAGGAAUCCGCACCAUGUCCUUUAUUAAGC
rnacentral:misc_RNA from 1 species